rnacentral:piRNA from 1 species
CAGCUUCAUUGCAUGUAAUGUAG